rnacentral:rRNA from 1 species
GAUGAACGCUGGCGGCGUGCUUAACACAUGCAAGUCGAACGUGAGGGGGUAGCAAUAUCUCUGAAAGUGGCGCACGGGUGAGUAACACGUAGGUAACCUGCCCUGAAGCGGGGGAUAACAGUUGGAAACGGCUGCUAAUACCGCAUGAGACUGAUAAGCCGGGAGGCUUAUUGGUGAAAAUCUUGGUGCUUCAGGAGGGGCCUGCGGCCGAUUAGCUAGUUGGUGGGGUAAGAGCCUACCAAGGCGACGAUCGGUAGCUGGUCUGAGAGGACGAUCAGCCACACGGGAACUGAGACACGGUCCCGACUCCUACGGGGGGGCAGCAGUGAGGAAUAUUGGGCAAUGGGCGAAAGCCUGACCCAGCAACGCCGCGUGGAGGAAGACGGCCUUCGGGUUGUAAACUCCUUUUACGGGGGUAAGGAGGAAGGACGGUACCCCGACGAAUAAGUACACGGCUAACUACGUGCCAGCA